GUGCGACGAUAUGAAGCACAUGUAAUAAAAUGGGAACGAUACAGAGAAGAUUAGCAUGGCCCUGUGCAAGGAUGACACGCCCAAUCGUGAAGCGUUCUCAUUUUUU